rnacentral:rRNA from 1 species
GACGAACGCUGGCGGCGUGCCUAAUACAUGCAAGUAGAACGCAGUUGCGAACGGGUGAGUAACGCGUAGGUAACUGCCUCAUAGCGGGGGAUCACUAUUGGAAACGAUAGCUAAUACCGCAUAAUGUAAGAUGGACCUGAGUUGUAUUAGCUAGUUGAUGAGGAAAAGGCUCACCAAUGCGACGUUACAUAGCCGACCUGAGAGGGUGAGCGGCCACACGGGGACAGAGCCACGGCCCAUACUCCUACGGGAGGCAGCAUUAGUGAAUCUACGGCAAGGGACGGAAGUCUGACCGAGCAACGCCGCGUGAGUGAAGAAGGUUUUCGGAUCGUAAAGCUCUUUUGUUAGAGAAGCGGUAAAUAACCAGAAAGAGACGGCUAACUCCGUGCCAGCAGCCGCGGUAAC